rnacentral:rRNA from 1 species
GGGAGGUAGUGACAAUAAAUAACAAUACGGGGCUCAUUUGGGUCUCGUAAUUGGAAUGAGUACAAUUUAAAUCUCUUAACGAGGAACAAUUGGAGGGCAAGUCUGGUGCCAGCAGCCGCGGUAAUUCCAGCUCCAAUAGCGUAUAUUAAAGUUGUUGCAGUUAAAAAGCUCGUAGUUGAACUUCGGGGUCUACCCAUUGGUCAGGCUUAAUUGUCUGUACUGGUGAGAUGGAUCUCUACCUUCUGAGGAACUUUCAUGCCAUUUAUUUGGUGUGAUUGGAAAUCAGGACUGUUACUUUGAAAAAAUUAGAGUGUUUAAAGCAGACUAUCGUCUGAAUACAUUAGCAUGGAAUAAUAAAAUAGGACGGUGGUCCUGUUUUGUUGGUUUCUGAAUCACCGUAAUGAUUAAUAGGGAUAGUUGGG